rnacentral:rRNA from 1 species
GGUUUAAUUCGAUGAUACGCGAGGAACCUUACCCGGGCUUGAAAGUUAGCGACGAUUCUUGAAAGAGGAUUUCCCUUCGGGGCGCGAAACUAGGUGCUGCAUGGUUGUCGUCAGCUCGUGCCGUGAGGUGUCGGGUUAAGUCCCAUAACGAGCGCAACCCCUACCGUUAGUUGCCAUCAGGUGAAGCUGGGCACUCUGGCGGGACUGCCGGUGUAAGCCGAGAGGAAGGUGGGGGAUGAC